rnacentral:rRNA from 1 species
UACGGAGGGUGUGAGCGUUGUCCGGAAUCAUUGGGCGUAAAGGGCGCGUAGGUGGCCACUUCAAGCGUGCGGUGAAAGUCGGGGGCUCAACCCCUGAUCGGCCGUGCGAACUGGGGGGCUGGAGCACUGUAGAGGCAGGCGGAAUUCCGGGUGUAGCGGUGGAAUGCGUAGAUAUCUGGAGGAACACCGGUGGCGAAGGUGGCAUCCUGGACCAUUACUGACGCUGAGGAGCGAAAGCCAGGGGAGCAAACGGG